UCUCCAUCCCUCUAGAGCCUCCGAUCAUCGUUGCCAACAAUCCCACAGCUACUACAUGCAUGGCUACUCCCUCUCGCUCCUUGCUUUUUCUCUUCCUCUGCCUGCCAAUAGUCCUGGCAAUGGCUAGUAGCCACACAGAUAAAACUGAUCCAUUUCCGUGCGCGCGUCCCGAAGAGAAUGAGAUUCGCCUUCAUACGUACUUGCACCAAUUCCCUGCCUGGCCUAAUGUCUCAAACCCUAACGAAGUAGGUUCACGACUGGGUUCUAACGGGUAUCUCGGGCAUGUAGGAUUUCUCUACAUAGUAUUCUUAGGUGAACUAAAAUCCUAAGCAUUUGGGUCGCAGUCUCCCUUUUGAAGCAGGCCUUUAUUAGGACACAACUGAUCAAGCUAGUAGGCUGCGAUCUGCAACAUUAUAACCCUUCUUCAUGGCGAAAUGCUUCGCUUUCUAAAGCUGUUCAGGGAUCACCUUUUCCAACAGCCUUGCAUUGAGGGUCAAAAAGGGUCAUGGUCGCUUCCUAAGCCGUGUGGUCGAUCAGUGGUCACUUUAGAAUGUAUGGCAUGUCUGGAAUUAUAAGGUUAUUUUGUUUCUUUGCGACAAAUUUUUGACUGAGUAUUACUCUAUUCUUACAUCGUUUUGUGACACAAAUUUUAUAUUAUUAUAUUCAAAUUUGAAAAAAAUACUUUCUUAUGUUUAUACUUCUAUAUCGUAUGAAUGUAGUAAUUGUCGACCAAAGCCUUGUCCUAAGUAAAUGCAUGUUGUAAAAUCCUAAAGAAAAGCAUGUUGCAAAACGGAGGGAGUACAUUCUGAAGUGAUCACUGUAGCUAAACAUUUGUGGCUAGGAACGGAGCUUCAAUGCUUCAUGCAUAAUCCACAUGGAACAGUUUAUUUAGAAUCUAGGUUUAUAUAUAUAUAUAUAGGCACGAAAUUAUUUAUUCGUUAAAUGCUACUCGUAACACUUUUGUGCAUGGAACAGUUUUGCAGGGUCCACACUUGGAAGUGUUGGGCCUCAUUAACCCUCCAUACCUCACCGGUGAUCAGUGUUCCUGGGCCAUCAUGGGUGGCACUGGAGUAUUUAAUUACUAAUGCACACGGUACUAUCAACUACAAAGAUGUCCAAAGUACCGUGAGCAGCAUAACUGAUGUCGUUAGAGAGCUUGACAUUCAUAUAUUCUACACUCCAUAAAACAUCACCAGAGGUUAAAUUUACAGCUGUUAUUUAAAGUGAAACUGGUCAUAUCGAAUAAUGACAUCGCCAAACUGCUAUGGAGAUUUGCAGAAGUAUCAUCUGUUACGUUGAUAAUUUAAAGAAAACAUGUGUCCGUGGAAGCUUGCGGUGUGCUUGUUUGCCAUUCUGUCAGCUUGCCUGCAGUGCCAUCAAUAUUGUACACUUUCUGUUUCUCUGCAUGUCAAAUAAUAGGUGGGUCUCAAGCAUGGGACUAUGUAUCUUGGCUGUAGAUCCAUGUUCAGUUAUUUGGUGGUGCCUAUGUACUGCUUGGAUGGAUGCUCUGGAUCCUAUACUUUGUAGUUGAUUGUAACUUUCCAAAAAGAAAAAAAUUAAUAUAUUCCUCUGGUUGUGGCA